ACCAGCAUCCCACUGAGGUUUUCCCUGGGCUGCAAACUCUGCAGAUCCUCAUUUCUACAAUCGUGCAAAUAGGUUUUGUUCUGAAGCUAAAAGUAGAAGGGAAUAUUUUCCUAGAAUGAAGGCGAGAGCGUGGCUGGCUGACACCAGUAAGUUUUCUCUGGGGGAUGCAGAGCACUUGCUUAAGCCCAGAUGACACACAGGCUGCCCUGGGGCAGGCAGUGCUUGGGAAUUAAAACCAUCCUUUCCAACAGCUGUGGCUCUUUGUUACCAACAUGAAUAUAAGAGGAACUGUGGGAGGGAGCUGAAGAUUGACCAGAGGAGCACAUCUGCUGUUCAGUGCAUAUGGCAUGCUGCAACGACCAAACCCAGCUGGUUCUGAAGGUCUAGCUCAGAGGAUCUCUGGGGAUAAGGAAAGAGAGAGACCCUCAAAGAGCUGUGGAGUGAGGGCAAAUGCACAGAGUGGAUCUGGCAAGGAAUCAGAGGUGAGGAGGGAGCUGCCCUUCGUGUCACUGCCUCCCAUGGUCAGCUCUGCCCUGCAGGGAGAUCUGGCUCAAUAACCACUGCACAUAUGUAUGUCUCUGGUAUGGGAUGUUCUCCUCAUUCAACCCAAUUCUCGCUGGCAAACGUCAAGAACAUGGGCCAAGAUUCAUGCUGGCUUUAACUGUUAGCUGCCACAACAGCCUUGUAUGUGCAGGAUACAACUUCCAUUGGGCUUAUCUCUAGUUGCCAUUAACUUGCAGUGAUCUAUUUGAACGUUUUGAUCCUUGCUGCACCAAGA
rnacentral:lncRNA from 1 species